rnacentral:rRNA from 1 species
CAAUAGCGUAUAUUAAAGUUGUUGCAGUUAAAAAGCUCGUAGUUGGAUUUGUGGCGUACGGUGUGUUCCGGGCACUUGUUGUCUGAGUAACCUGCUGUUGCCAUCCUUGGGUGGAACCUGUGUGGCAUUAGGUUGUCGUGCAGGGGAUGCCCAUCAUUUACUGUGAAAAAAUUAGAGUGUUCAAAGCAGGCUUAUGCCGUUGAAUAUAUUAGCAUGGAAUAAUGAGAUAGGACUUUUUUGCUAUUUUGUUGGUUUGCGCAAAGAGGUAAUGAUUAAUAGGGACAGUUGGGGGUAUUCGUAUUCCAUUGUCAGAGGUGAAAUUCUUGGAUUUUUGGAAGACGAACUACUGCGAAAGCAUUUACCAAGGACGUUUUCACUAA